rnacentral:rRNA from 1 species
GACGAACGCUGGCGGCGUGCUUAACACAUGCAAGUCGAACGGAAAGGCCCUGCUUUUGUGGGGUGCUCGCGUGGCGAACGGGUGAGUAACCCGUGAGUAACCUGCCCUUGACGUUGUGAUAACUUCAGGAAACUGCUGCUAAUACCGGAUAGGAGCUCCUGCUGCAUGGUGGGGUUUGGAAAGUUUCGGCGGUUGUGGAUGGACUCGCGGCUUAUCAGCUUGUUGGUUGGGUAGUGGCUUACCAAGGGUUCGACGGGUAGCCGGCAUGAGAGGGUGAACGGCCACCUGAGGACUGAGAGACGGACCAGACUGGUACGGGAGGCAGCAGGGGAGAAUAUUACACAGUGGGCGGGAGCGUGAUGCGGCAGCGCCGCGUGCGGGAUGACGGCCUUCGGGUUGUAAACCGCUGUAGCCUGUGACGAAGCGUGAGUGACGGUAAUGGGUGAAGAAGCACCGGCUAACUACGUG